UGACGGUAUAUCCCAACCUUCUAAGUACAAGAGCUCAAAUUUCUCCACUCACUUCAGAAUCAAGAAAUGUAUAAUAAUUCUAUAAGCAGUAUUGCAUAGGAGCCGAUUUAGAGUAAGCAUAAACUGUAAAAGACACAAACACUUUUGACCUAGUUCACGGCCUCUAACCGUUACUUCUGGAGAGGGAAUUCUUGUUCCUCAAGCUUCACUAUAAACUGAGAAAAGUACAAGCUUUGAGAAUGUCUCUCUUAGAGCAGCCCCAUCGGUAAGAUAUCCAUUUGCAGGUUCUAGAUCAUAAAUUUAUCACUUUUUCGUUGCAUAUGUAAGAAAUAAAUAACUUUUAAUUCAAAAUAGAAAUUAAGGCCACUAGAAAAGAAACACGUGAUGAAUUAAGGUUUAUAACCGGUGUUAAAAAGGACUUGUUUAGGAUCUGUCUUUCUCUCUUUCCUCUUUUUUUUUUAUUUUUUAAUAUUAAUUUUUUGUUUGGAUACUGGAUCAGAACCCUGCAAUGGACAUGGUCUUACACUUUUUUGAUACAAGAGAUUACUGUUAGGGUAUUAAUGCUUAGGGUAAGGUUCUAUUUAUACUAAGCAUCUCUGUCAUAAUCUUGUGUACUUCACGUUUAAUGACAAAACGUGAUGGGUUUCAUAUGUGUAUAAACAUAAUCUCCAUUUUCCUUACAGGCCCAUUGACCAAGGCCCAGCUUGCAUGUACGUGAUUUGAGUCAACAUUCACACUAUGUAUAUGAAUCAUAAGAUUCCUGCAGAUAGUCAUGAUGCAAUCAUGCAAAACGAUGGGUCUCUGAUAUUCAUAACUACAAUGAUAAACUCUCCAAGGUGGUUAAGCUGUUAGGGGUAUUCUCGAAGGAUUGAACAGCAGCAAGCAGUUAUAGAGACUGCAAUGCUCAACGACAAGGGUGUUAAGGGACCAUUAUAUAUUUUUACUGAUUGUGUUAAUUGCUUCACUAUUGAUGUAUAUUCACAGAUGGAUUGACAUAGCGUAUAAAAUUUGACCCUGCAUCAAACUGAGAUCGUGUAAUGAAGGUCAGGACAAAAGAUCUUCAGAUACAAAAGGUUUGUUCUUUUGUGGGUUUUUCAACUGUGGUUUGGGUUAAUGCUAACUAAGGUUUAAUGUUCUGCAGAUGGAAAAAGAAACCUCAAAUUUGGGGAAAGCCGAAAAGAGGUGGAUCUUGCUAAAUUCCUGCUUGAAGAUAUCAUGAGAAUGGGUUAACAUGAUGAGGCAUCAAAGGCAUUUCUGGCUCCUCCCACAAUAUCACUUCAUGAAAAAAAUAGUUCAAUUUUUCAUAAAGCUUUCCCAAUUAUCACGGUUCUAUGACAUCUCUGUUAAAUGGGUUCUUUUGUUUUUACUUUAUUGAACUACGUAUCUCGGCAAACAUAGAGACAAAUGGGAUGAUCGUUCAAUAUCAAAGACAUCAGUCGUGGUCAUUUAGACAGAAGAAGUUUCAUAUCUGAUAGAAUGUCCACACCGAAGUUUCAUAUCUGAUAGCAGGAGCUUGUGUUUGGUCUCACUCUGACAAUGAUGAUCCUGUUGAAGAGCUGACUAGGCGCUCAGCUCAGAAGAAUAUUGCAGAGAGAUUCAAUGCAUGAUGUUAAGGAAUCAGCAAAAAAAAAAGAAAGAAGUUUAAAUAGAAUACUCAGACUGUCUUUACCCGCUCCGCCAAAAAGAACCAGUUAGUAGUUAGUACUAAGUAGUGUAUAGUAACAGUAAACAUGCAUGGUGGAUCAUUCAAAAGAAAAUGCAUGAUCACUUUUAAGUUAUAAUUUACUUGAAGUUGAAUUACAAAAGAAAUUGAACUAAUGGGAAUCAUCUACCCUUUCAUCCUCCCAUGUUGGUCUCAAAUUUUGUUAGGUCUAUUAUGCAAGCACCAAAAAAAAAAUACAAUUCAAACAUUUAAUAGUUCACCAAUAGAAUGUUCCAGUUAUAUUAAUUAGACUGAAAAAAAAAACUAUAAUUACCAUAACAGACGAUGAAAUCAUCAGUUUCGUGUAAUUAAGGGGUUGCAAUUUGAGCAAACACAAUACACGUUGAAAGGAAAUUCAUCCAGAACUAUAUGAUUCGAGGAAAAACAUAACACAAAACAUAAACUGGUUUGAAUCUAAAGAUUCUUGUAGAUAGAUAGAUGGAACGAAAAAUUUGACAAGUCCUAGAAAAAACUCAAAAACAAAACAACAUAGAAGGAAAGAGAGACUUAUAUAUUUAGAUUAGUGUGACAAUCACAAGUCACGUACUUGGUGAUUUCCUUUUGCGUGUAUAAUCUUGUUGGGUUUGAGUUAAACUUGGAGCAUAAUUCAGAAGAACUGAGCUAGACUCAAAAUUAUCAUGCGUGAUGCUUUCCCUUUUGCCUCUUCCAAGCCGAUUCACUUGUAUGUCUUUAUUUUCUUGCACAGUGGAUAAGACGUUGUCGGAGUUCAAACACCUUACAACCUUGCUCUGCUUGUCUGCCAGGAAACUCAUCCCUUUAGAAAACUGACUACUACUUAUCUCAUAUUGAAAGGUCAAAUCUAGGACUAGGAGCUGACUCCAUGAUCCGGUACUAGUUGUCACACACACUUGUAACUCCUUAUUCGUUAAAGAUAAGAGACAAAGUUGCUCUUCUCUAACCACAGAUAAAGCCAAUAUACUAUACGGAAACGGACGAGGAAGAGAUAGACUUUGAAACAUCUCUGCUGAAAAAUCAAAACUAAGUAAGAAAUUGUUAUGUGGACUCCAUGCUUGAGUAGCAAUCCAAAAAGUAUUUCCCUUCACUGAUAUGCCACGACGAUAUAGUGCUAAAAACCAAUCAGUAGCAACCCCAAGAAUUCUCCAAGUGUUAGAGGUGAAGUCGUAAAUCUCGUACUCAUUAUUAGGUGGUACAUCUUUAUGAAGAUCCACCCUCAAGAUUUUAUAUUGGUUGCUGCAUGAUUUGCUGUCGUAAGUGUAACCGAGAGCAUAGUAGUCUGAUUCUCUGUAGAUGACUCUAGGUUUAAUCCACGUGGUUUCCCCUGAACAUGGAUUCCAAACCACGAGUCUCUUGUCCUUUGUGGUGCAUAGCAACAAGCUGUUGCAGUGAAAGACAUUAAGUACACCAACUUGUGAAGAAUUAGAAAGGGGGUCUUUAAGGUAGAAUGGAUUAUUUGCAACCUUAACAUAUGGAGCACCGAGACUGAUCCUUACUUGGAAAACAUUAGAAUCAAUCAACAUGAUGUUCAGAGACUCAUCCUCCCUCUUUGGUGCUUUGGCAGUGUGCAUCUUAGCAAAGCUAGUGGAUUUCAAUAUAGCGCUCCAUUGUUUUGAUGUUGAUCGAAAUCUUGCUAGAGUCAUAGCUGGAAUCCUAGAGAGUAUAUUCUCUACCAAAUCCGUUGGAAGGUUUCUCCACUCCAUAGCUACUGUGUGAUUCAAUCAAAAUCUUUAAUACGCGAGCCAGGGAUGGGGGGUGAGAGAAAGAGUAUUUAUUAACCUACAACCGAGAAGGACCUAAAUUCCCAAUAUGAAUAGGUUUCCUAUGUGUUACGGGAAAAAAAAGAAAGAAUAGGUUUCCUAUCUUUAAAGAUAAUUUAACUCAAAAAGAAAAUUUAACAUAUUUGCAAACAUAUCUAAAACUUGGGGGUGCCGUUAAAAGAAAUUUUUUAAAUUUAUUAUACGAUGUUGCAAAUAAAAUAAAUCUGUAAUAUGAAAGAGAGAGAGACACCUAAAUUCUCAAUUAUGUAUAAGUUUCUAUAGAUAAUUUGACAUAAAAAGAAAAUUUAACAUAUUUGCAAAAGUAUUUAAUAAUACGAUACUGCAAAAGUUCCUAAACCUUUUUUGAGCUUUUAGCAACGGGUGAAAAAAUGUCAAAUAUAUAUAUUUCAAAAUAGAACUUUGUCAAAACGUUACUUUCACCGUAGCUGUCCAAGUGUGAAAAGUUUGAUGACGGUAUAUCCCAACCUUCUAAGUACAAGAGCUCAAAUUUCUCCGCUCACUUCAGAAUCAAGAAAUAUAUAAUAAUUCUAUAAGCAGUAUUGCAUAGGAGCCGAUUUAGAGUAAGCAUAAACUGUAAAAGACACAAACACUUUUAACCUAGUUCACGGCCUCUAACCGUUACUUCUGGGGAGGGAACUCUUGUUCCUCAAGCUUCACUAUAAACUGAGAAAAGUACAAGCUUUGAGAAUGUCUCUCUUAGGGCAGCCCCAUCGGUAAGAUAUCCAUUGCAGGUUCUAGAUCAUAAAUUUAUCACUUUUUCGUUGCAUAUGUAAGAAAUAAAUAACUUUUAAUUCAAAAUAGAAAUUAAGGCCACUAGAAAAGAAACACGUGAUGAAUUAAGGUUUAUAACCGGUGUUAAAAAGGACUUGUUUAGGAUCUGUCUUUCUCUCUUUCCUCUUUUUUUUUUUAUUUUUUAAUAUUAAUUUUUUGUUUGGAUACUGGAUCAGAACCCUGCAAUGGACAUGGUCUUACACUUUUUUGAUACAAGAGAUUACUGUUAGGGUAUUAAUGCUUAGGGUAAGGUUCUAUUUAUACUAAACAUCUCUGUCAUAAUCCUUGUGCACUUCACGUUUAAUGACAAAACGUGAUGGGUUUCAUAUGUGUAUAAACCUAAUCUCCAUUUUCCUUGCAGGCCCAUUGACCAAGGCCCAGCUUGCUUGUACGUGAUUUGAGUCAACAUUCACACUAUGUAUAUGAAUCAUAAGAUUCCUGCAGAUAGUCAUGAUGCAAUCAUGCAAAACGAUGGGUCUCUGAUAUUCAUAUCUACAAUGAUAAACUCUCCAAGGUGGUUAAGCUGUUAGGGGUAUUCUCGAAGGAUUGAACAGUAGCAAGCAGUUAUAGAGACUGCAAUGCUCAACGACAAGGGUGUUAAGGGACCAUUAUAUAUUUUUACUGAUUGUGUUAAUAGCUUCA
rnacentral:lncRNA from 1 species